CAGCUGGCCUCCCUGAGCCUCGGUCUUCUGUAAGCAGAACCAACCUCACCGGUGCCUGCCUCAUAAAGCCGAGAGCAGAAUUCAAGAAUGAACCAGAAGCACUGUCCCAAAAGGGUUAAAAUAGCCCAGUGCGUGGGACAGCACACAGGAAGCACAGGAAAUGUUAGGUGGCGCAGUAACCCCAGCAAGCCACGGGCCCAGGGCUCGCCACAGCCUGCAGGUUUGUAAUCCCCAGACCUUCACGGACUCCGGGGGCGCAGGCCCACGCGUGGGUCCAGACGAACGGCGAGCAGUACGGGGUGUCCGUGCGACCCCGUGGUACAUGGCCAGAGAGAGAAUGAAGUUCUGGUAAGCGCUCCAAGACGAGGCCCUGAGAACAUCAGGUAAAAAGGCCGAUCUCCAAACUCCGCAUGGGGUUUGAAUCCUUUCAUAGGAGUGUCCUGAGCAGGAGAAUCCAGAGAAACAGAACGAACCCCCAGCUUUGUCAGGAAGGAGUUAAAGCAGCUCAGCACUGGGCCCAGGACACGGAGCGAGCCCGGCUUAGCUGCCAGGCUGGGAGCCGGAGGGUGGGGCGAGGGCAUCCUGCCGGGCGGUGCUUUCCAGAAGAGAAUGUCUUGGAACCACACAGAGGUGGUGUAUACACAGCAUUGUGAGGUACAAGUGCCACCAAAUUCUACACUUCGGGUGAUUUUGCCUCGAUUUUUAAAAAAUGAAAAAAAAGGUGUAGAGACUUGCCUGGGCUCAGGGUCACAAGGGCAACGAGUGACACCACAGAGCAACGAUUCCCCAUUGGGCCAAGUGCAGGCCACAGGACAGAUCUCUCCACUUGCCAGAGCCUGUGACCUUUACCAUGACCCAAUUUUGAGGAGAGGAGUCACUGGGUCAAAGGUAACAACCCACACACAGAUGACACAUUUGGGGACUGGGCCUCUCCCUGCGUGGGCAUCUGGGUGGGAGGGAGCACUGGCCCAGCCAGAACCCCAGGGGACUGCUCACAGAGCCAGCGAGGGUGGACCGCCCUUUGGCCUGCACUUUCUGGUUGAGCCUGAGAUUUCCACCCCCGCCUGCUGCCUGCCUGGGUUAUAUUUAAUCCUGCUGCUUCCAGAAACCAGGACUCAAGGACAGUGUGGCCUCCUUCUGGCUCCAGAGCCCUGUGGGGUUCGUCACAACACAGCUGCCUCUGGUCACUGAGCAGCCUCAGUUUCCUCCUCUGAAAACACAGUCCAGGGAAGCUUCUGUGGGACGGUGCGGGAAGUGCUAGGCACCUGGGGACAGAGGCACAGGGAGCCUUUGUCCAUGUGCUCCUAAGACACCCCAGGCUGUUCUCCUGAGGAGUUGCUUAUGGAUUAGAAACAUGUUCAAGUCCAAGGUGUAGGGUCAAGUGGGAGAGCGAGGGCAGCCAGGAGCCUGGCCCUGCUGAAGGCUCACCUGUGGGAGCUACUGCCACUUCUCUGGGCUUUAAAUGCUUUGCCCACAUGUUUCCAUAUACGCAGGUCGUUUCUGGAAGGCCACGGGGAGGCUGUGGACAGCAAUCAGUCCCUCCAGAGAUGAGCAGGAAGGAGAUGUUUUACUUAAGUUCUCACCAUGAGCAUGUAUUACUUUUGUAACACAGUAACAGUUUAACAUGUAAUUAAGCUCUGAAACAAGAAGCUUUAACUCUUAUGACCACCCCAACUAACCGAAGAGGAACGUGGCUCCUGGGCCUCACCUCCUCCAGGAAGUCCUUCUACAGGCCCAGCGCCCCAGCUACACCACCUUCCCCAGAUGGAAAGGAGCACCCUGCCUGCCGCCUUUCCUCAUCUGCCUCUCCCGUGAAGCUAGGAGGGCCUGGACGGAGGGGCCUGUCUGACUCAUCCCGGAUCCCCGGUUCCGGCAAGACGCCCGGCACUGCUGAGUGAAGGAAUGAGGCUCGGAGAGGUUACAGCAGCGGCCUUGACCUCUGGAGAUCACAGAGUACGUGGUUUGGCAGGGUGAGACCCAGUCUCUGGGCUCUAACCUCACCACACCCUGACUUCUGUAGCAUGGCUCCCUCCCACUCACUAAAAAUGUCCCAAAGAGGCCACCUAGAUGUCACUACACGGCCUCCAGCCCUUGUGUAGGUGUUGUGGCAUUCAGGUUUGGGAGCAAAGAUUGUUCAGGGCCCGGGGGUAGCUGGAAAUGCCCAUGUGUACAUUAGGAAAGCCAUAAAAGAAGGGUAAUUUGCCCCUUUGGCCAAGAACGUCAUAAAAUAAAGAGUGGUUUGCCCUCCUGGCUCCUUAUCUGAUACUUCAAAACUGAGGUCUUAGCUGGGUGCAGUGGCGCCCACCUGUAAUCCCAGCAGCUCAGAAGGCUGAGGCAGGAGGAUCAUGAGUUCAAGGCCAGCAUCGGCAAUUUAGCAAGGCCCUAAGCAACUCAGUGAGACCCUCUCUCAAACUAAAAUAUAAAAAGGGCUGGGUAUGUGACUCAGUGGUUAAGCGCCCCUAGGUUCAAUCCCCAGUGGCGCCCCCCCCAAAAAAAAAAAAACAACCGAGGUCUUGGUCUUCCAAGUUAGUAUAGACCUUUUUUGGGAGGGGGGCGGUACCAGGGAUUGAAUGGGAGGCAACAGUAGACACCACGGAUGGG
rnacentral:lncRNA from 1 species